UUUUUUUUUUUUUUUCAGUGAUCUAGUUUCUUCCACCUUAUUGUUCCCAGAAAUAUUGUCCUCAUUUGCCUGUCUACCAUUGACUUAGCUCCUGCUUUACCUUCUAGUCUAUGGGAAGAAAGAGAGAUAAAGAUUAUAGCAAACAAUUUUAUUUUGAGGAAAUGAUGCUGAGGUUGUAUACAUCUUUCCCACACUCCUCUUCCACUGGUAAUACAUGGCCAGAUGGCUACACUUAGCUGCAAGGAAGGCUAGAAUGUAUACAUCUUUCCCACACUCCUCUUCCACUGGUAAUACAUGGUCAGAUGGCUACACUUAGCUGCAAGGAAGGCUAGAAUGUUUGGUCUCUAGCAGGAUGGCUCUGCGCUCAGCUAAAAAUAUUAUUAUAGAAGAAGGAAAGAAUGGGCUUGGAAAAAAAUCAGAAGCCUAUCACAACUCUUUAGUUUUAAAGCCCCUUUCUUAUUAUGAGAAAACAAACACCAGCCAAUGGGUGGGAAAUCAUGGGAGAGCAUUUAUAUACAAGUAAAUGUUUCUAUUUUAUUUUGCAACAUUUUGGAGUCAUUUAUGGUUUGUAAUAAAGGAGUGGCACAAUCACAUUUUCAUUUUACAAAAGACCACUCUGGAUGCAGGUGAGGGAAAAUACUGGAGGGAAGGAGACCAAUUUUGAAGCACUUGCAGGAAUCUGGUUGAUAUAUUAUGCUGAUGGGAACUAAAGGAAUUAGUAGUGAGGUCAAAGGGAGAGAAAUCCAUGAGGUGAAAUGAUUAAAUACAUGCUUAUAAAUAAGAUGUAAGCAUAGAAAGUUUAGGGGUAAACAAUAGUAACACGGAGGCCAUAUAGGCUGAAUGAGUGGUAAUCUUAUCCAGUACACAGAAGGAGAGUGAAAAAGAUGAGUUUAAUGUUGCACACCGAAAAUUGCAAUCACUGAGCUAAUUAGGCAAAACUGUGUGGGAAAAGAUUCAGCCCAAAGGCAUCUGUUCAGGACUCUGUUCUAGAGGGAAGAAGGGAACCCAGAAUGGGAUCCUAAGGAAAGGCGACACUUAAGGGUUGACCAAGAAAGUGGAAGCUGUGUUCACUGACAACUAUUUGCCAGUAAUAAUUUAUUACAUUCACCUAAACCCCAUUUACUUAAUACCCUUCACAGACUAGUGUAUCACCAGUCAUUGACUCUCUAAGUACUGCCGAUGCAUCGAAUUCAGUUUGCUAAAAAUGUUGCCUGAUGUCUAUCCAUUUUUUAUGUUUCAUUUUGUUGAAGAUAGUCAAAGAAUCAGUUUUUAAGUGAAUUGCUAAAAAAGUAUAUUGCUGCUCUGUGAUUUAAAGUUAGGUGAAUUAGGAAGGAAGAAAGUAGUGUAGUAUCAUGCAUUUAAAUGGAGAGAGUGUUUCAUGAGGGAAGCCGUGUUAAAUGCUCAGAGUUCACAACGACCUUGCAUGAUGAUGUAUCAUAGGGAAUGGGAAUUACUUAAGGCUCCUCUUUGCAUAUCAGUAUCAUCUCUGAUGCUACUGUGUGAUUUCCCUAAAAGCACUUCAGCUUGAGGACUGAUGCCAGAUCUAAUAGCACAUGUAGGAUCUCAUAACCCUUUAAUCAUUUUGCCCAUCACCUUGGUACACCCAGGUUUCUCUAAUCUAGAGUGAACUGGAAUUCUGCAGAGGUAGUCCUUUUAUUCAUCUGUACUGUGUGGAGGGCUAUGAAGCACUGUACAAUUUUCAAAUAAAUAUCUCCCCGAUUUUCUUUUUUUUUUUUUUUUUUUAUUUUCCCACUGUACAGCAAGGGGGUCAGGUUAUCCUUACCUCUAUACAUUACAAUUACAUUUUUUCCCCCACCCUUUGUUCUGUUGCAACAUGAGUAUCUAGACAUAGUUCUCAAUGCUAUUCAGCAGGAUCUCCUUGUAAAUCUACUCUAAGUUGUGUCUGAUAAGCCCAAGCUCCCGAUCCCUCCCACUCCCUCCGCCUCCCAUCAGGCAGCCACAAGUCUCUUCUCCAAGUCCAUGAUUUUCUUUUCUGAGGAGAUGUUCAUUUGUGCUGGAUAUUAGCGUCCAGUUAUAAGUGAUAUCAUAUGGUAUUUGUCUUUGUCUUUCUGGCUCCCCGAUUUUCUCAUGCAUUCAUAUUAAAUUCUCCCAUCAUUUUCAUGGGACUGUAUUUCUAGCACAUUUCAUUCUUUUUCCUAGAUCCAUAAUUCUAACAUUGGUUUAUUUGUGCCUGAUAGACUUCCUUAAACAUUUCUUACAGUGCAGUGUGAUGGUGUUGAAUCUUUUCAACUUUUGCAUGUUCAAAACUCUCUUAUUACAUUUUUAUUUUAGGAAUAUAUUUUCAUUGAUUUUAAAAUUCUAGGUUGAAAACCUUUUUACUUUCAGUACCUUAAAGAUGUAUUUUGUUUCUUUCUUGUUGGCAUUUUUUCCAGAAAGAAGUCUGUUAUUAAUUUUGUUUUUCCCUGAAUAACGUGUCUUUUUCUUUCAUAUGCUUUUGAGAUUUCUUGGUUUUGAGCAAUUUGAAUAUGAUGCAUCUUAGUGUAGUUUCUUUAUGUUUUGUUCAUUAAGGGUCUGAGAUUCUUAGAUCUGUCAGUACAAGUUAAUUUUUGUUUUGUGUAACAAGAAGGUGAGGAAGUCCCUAUCUGACAAGUAUCUCUUUUUUUGUGAAGUAAGAGUUUGUCCAUCUAUUGUGAAUGACAUCACAAUGGUGUGUCAGAUGUUUGAAGAGAUGAAAUAUAUAUACUGUGAAAAAUGUGAGAGUCUUGAGGGUAUGAAUGACUGCUAAUAUGUAGUUUUCAUUAGUCUCAAGCUUUAUGUUCUCAAGCAGUUCUUUCCUUUUAUGAUUUGGGAAUCAAGGAGACAGCUGGAAAAGAUGAUAAAAUUUGCCAGGUAAAUGAUGGUCUAUUCAGUUUAUAUUAGAAAGGGAAGAAAGUGAACAGAAGAGGCAGUUGAAUGAUGGAAAGAAACUUAAGGAGGUCAAAGAAUUACAGAUUUUGAGGUCAUGAAGAAGGUAUAAAUGCACAGUUUAGAGAUCCAAAAGAUUAGAAGUCUAGGGAUAAAAUAUGGAACCUAGCAUUUAAGAGUUGCUGCAGUUGUAUGUGACAGCAUGAUCCAGAAGACAACCAUAAGAGAGCAAUGCUACAAUAGCAUGGAGAUGGGCUGUUAAAGAAGUCAACAUGCAGAAAAUAGAUUAUCCACAUGAAGAUUAAAAGCACCAAGGGUAUUAAUGGCUGCUUUGGAAUGAAAAGAAAAUCAGAGAUCCAGUUACCAAUUCUUUACUAAAUAAGGUGAAUUCAAGAGUUCAGUAAGCAGCCAUCAAGGAAGAGACACAGACUGUCAUAGAGAGAGAUGGAGGAGCCUUGAAAGGAGCAUAGAUUUUACAUGAUUGUGGAGGAGUAACCAUAGAAGAAAUGGGAGGAUGAGAGGGCUCACUCCUGACUUCCAAGGCAAGGGAUGAGGGCCGUGGCUGAAUGGGCAGACUCACUUGAGGUGGGGGGCUCACUCGAAUGGACAGAAAAUGAAGCUAAGAAUCAGCAUUCUGUUUUAUUGAUUAAAACAUACUUUGGAUGGAUCAGAUCCUAGCACAAGUAAAUGAAAAAAAGAAUGAAGCGGAAAAUAAAAUGUGGAGAGAAGUACUACUGAAAGCAACAUAUCAAAGUCUGCCGUAAGAUAAUGACUACAAUUUGAAAAAUUAUCACUGUACUAUUCUAUGAUAAAACAAGAACAUGUUUGACAUUGUAAAAUGCAGCAAGACUUUGCCUCAAUUAGAUAAAAAAAGGGAACAAUUCAGGAAGCCCCAAAUAUAAAAAUAAUUAAAAUCCACAUGAAGCCAAUAAAUUGAAUGGACCAAAGAAAAGAGAAAAAAAUUAACAAAUGUAGAAGAAGAAGAAUUUAUUCAAUUAGAUUGAAAGGGCUCUCUGUACUUCUGAAAAAUAAAGUAUAAAUAAAAACAUCUAAAAAAUAAUCUUGAAUCACGAGUACGUAAGCAUCCAAACAUCUAAUUGGUCACCCCAAUUUAUGUAGGUUUGGAAUUUGGGCUGAUUUUUACUUUUUUUGUAUGCAUUUUUGAAUUUUAAAAAUUCUGGAAAAACAAAUACUUCUUUUAUGAUUAAAAAUCAGUAUUUUAGAAAUGAGGUGAAAUGUCAAAAUUAUAAGUGGGUCUCUAUGUAAAUACUGAAAAAUACUCUUAAAAACAAUACUUUUAUUUUAGGUUUUGUUCAGUGAAUAAAAUAUUUGCUUCUUCAACAGUCAAGAGUUGUUGUUCAGUGGCUGUGGAAAUCUUCCUUCUGAAAUACAAAGAACUAACACAGCACAAGUUAUUAAGUGGUGAAGUGGAUAUCAUCAAAUAGUCUGUGAAAAGACCUCUUAGAUUUAUGGGAAAGUAUCUUUACUUAAUAGAAAUGUUAGCACUUCCUGGGCUCAUUUAUUGUUUAGGAGUGUACCAAAGUUUGCUUCACUCCCAUCAGGCAUCAAGGUCAGCAUUAUUAUUUUCAGUUAAAUCCAACGGAGUCCUCAUUGAACACUAAAUAAAAGUCACCUUGUUUCCCUGUGGCUACCAUGGUUAUAUUAAGAAGAUAGAAAAGUCUAGAUCUGGAGUCUUUAAAAGGCUUGUUUAUUUUACUGCAUCCAAUACAGAACAGCACUGACUUCCCAAACUGAGACUUAGGGUGAUCUGAACACUGGGAACAAAACUCAUAUACAAACAAAUAUUCUUCUGCAAAUAUCAGAAUGGUGCCCCCCUCAGAGGGAAACUCUCCAGAAGGACAUUGAAAGAAUUAAAUGAGGAAAAAUGCUUGUGUAUAAUUUAGAAAUCAAGUAGAAAUUUAUGUUGGAGGAUAGGAGUCUAUCAGGAUGAGUUGGAAAGUAUUUGUCCCUGAAAAAAAUUCAAGGAUUUGAGGGAAAGGACCUGAGAUACAGAAUAGAGCAUCAGACUUGCAUGCUGUUAGUGGAUAAACUAAAUGACCUAAAAUACUUUUUACAUCAGUUGUUAUUUCUUGUAAGAUUCUUUUGUUUACGAAAAUGACAAGAGCACAGAGUUGCCUGAAUAGUUUUCGAUGACUUUAUUCUACAGUUGAGAAAUAGUUAUUCAAAAGAUUUUCUGUAGGAGGAAUUUAGAGGGGCUUCUAACUGCCCCACCCCCACCCCAGACAUACAGUUCUCCGUUUCAGUUAAGAAUGUGGAAAAAUACUAAUCAGAAGGGGCUGGGGGUUCAUACCUGCCAUUUGCUGGAAUGUCACAUUUAAUGUGGUCUGGCUGCCUUUCUCCUGAGAUGUUCAACUCUUUCUUCAAAAACAGUUAUAUAACCUCAUUAAUUUUUCCCCAAAUCCCUGUGAGCUAUGGUACUGAUAUUAUUCUCUUAAAAAUGAAAGAAUUUGAGGCUGAGCUACAAAAUGACUGAUGAUGAAGCAGCAAAGAAAAACUGCUUAUACAACCUCAGAAAAUUGGUGUGGACACUCAAUUAAUGUAACUCAACUUGCUUGUUGUUGCCAAUGAGUCCCCUGGUGCUAUGGCUGGUCUGUUUUAAAGGUCUCCAGGAAUCAGGAGCAGCAAGUAAUAAUGGGAAAUGUAGGUCAGCUCAGGAAAGAAAAUGUUAUUUGCAUGAUUUCCUUUCUCCAUGUUUCUAUGAAGCUCUUUCCUUUUCCUAAUUUUUAGCAUGUUAGAAUUUAUGGUCAAGCAUUAAAGAUAAAAUGGGAACUUAUAGAUGGGCAGUAUAGAUGGGCAAACUAGAAAGUUAUCUAUUUUCAGAAAAGUUGGCAUUUAUUUUAGACAUAAAGCAACUGGAGCUCAGAAGUAGAUGCCUUUUUUCUUGGAUCCCUAGUAUUGGACAGCAUUUCAUAUGGAGAGAAGGCAUAUGAAUUGAAGCUGUAAAGGAAUCUACAUAGAUUAGUGAAAAAAUGAAAAAUAAAAAGAAAGGAAAGGAAUUUGAGUUAAGUCUCAAAAUAGAAUGAGUGAAGUCCUAUUUAGAAAUGUUUUUCCUAUCUUUAAUGAAAUUCAUUUUAAAAAUUAUAACUACUACUAUUCAUUAAACAUUAUGUGACAGGGUGCUUUAUCCAUCUUAACUCAUGUAAUUUGCAUAAAUCCCAUGAGGUAGCCAGUGUAAUUUCCCCCCAUUUUAUGGAUGAGAAACUGAAAUUAUCUUGCCUGAGGCUGAAUGUAGAGCUACUUAGGUGGCCUUGCCCCAGGACUUGUACUUUUAAUGGCUAAAACAUACUAUCUUUCUAAUAUAAAUGGUGAUUUCUUUAUAGUUCCUUUAAUACUGCUUCCAGUGGAAGAUGCACCAGCUAACACCUUGAUGCUUUCUCUGACAGCUCAUAAAUUAAAAUAUAGCUUGGCAAAAAUCAAAGGCAUUCUCCAGAUGGUGUCACCCA
rnacentral:lncRNA from 1 species